rnacentral:rRNA from 1 species
CCAGACUCCUACGGGAGGCAGCAGUGAGGGAUAUUGGGCAAUGGGGGAAACCCUGACCCAGCGACGCCGCGUGAGGGAAGACGGUCUUCGGAUUGUAAACCUCUGUCUUUGGGGACGAAAAAGGACGGUACCCGAGGAGGAAGCUCCGGCUAACUACGUGCCAGCAGCCGCGGUAAUACGUAGGGAGCGAGCGUUGUCCGGAUUUACUGGGUGUAAAGGGCGUGUAGGCGGGGACGCAAGUCAGAUGUGAAAACCACGGGCUCAACCUGUGGCCUGCAUUUGAAACUGUGUUUCUUGAGUACUGGAGAGGCAGACGGAAUUCCUAGUGUAGCGGUGAAAUGCGUAGAUAUUAGGAGGAACACCAGUGGCGAAGGCGGUCUGCUGGACAGCAACUGACGCUGAGGCGCGAAAGCGUGGGGAGCAAGCAGGAUUAGAUACCCGAGUAC